rnacentral:snoRNA from 1 species
UCCUGUUGGGGAUUUGCUCCACUUAGGGCCACGUGUCUGUGCCACUGAGCGUGGUGGCCUUGAGGAACCGAGGGC